rnacentral:tRNA from 1 species
GGCGCGGUAGCAAAGUGGUAAUGCAUCGGUCUGCAAAACCGAUAUACGGGGGUUCGAUUCCCCCCCGCGCCU